CUACAGGCUUAACACAUGCAAGUCGAGGGGAAACGACAUCGAAAGCUUGCUUUUGAUGGGCGUCGACCGGCGCACGGGUGAGUAACGCGUAUCCAACCUGCCCACCACUUGGGGAUAACCUUGCGAAAGUAAGACUAAUACCCAAUGAUAUCUCUAGAAGGCAUCUGAAGGAGACUAAAGAUUUAUCGGUGAUGGAUGGGGAUGCGUCUGAUUAGCUUGUUGGCGGGGUAACGGCCCACCAAGGCGACGAUCAGUAGGGGUUCUGAGAGGAAGGUCCCCCACAUUGGAACUGAGACACGGUCCAAACUCCUACGGGAGGCAGCAGUGAGGAAUAUUGGUCAAUGGGCGAGAGCCUGAACCAGCCAAGUAGCGUGCAGGAUGACGGCCCUAUGGGUUGUAAACUGCUUUUAUAAGGGAAUAAAGUGAGCCUCGUGAGGCUUUUUGCAUGUACCUUAUGAAUAAGGACCGGCUAAUUCCGUGCCAGCAGCCGCGGUAAUACGGAAGGUCCGGGCGUUAUCCGGAUUUAUUGGGUUUAAAGGGAGCGUAGGCCGGAGAUUAAGCGUGUUGUGAAAUGUAGACGCUCAACGUCUGCACUGCAGCGCGAACUGGUUUCCUUGAGUACGCACAAAGUGGGCGGAAUUCGUGGUGUAGCGGUGAAAUGCUUAGAUAUCACGAAGAACUCCGAUUGCGAAGGCAGCUCACUGGAGCGCAACUGACGCUGAAGCUCGAAAGUGCGGGUAUCGAACAGGAUUAGAUACCCUGGUAGUCCGCACGGUAAACGAUGGAUGCCCGCUGUUGGUCUGAAUAGGUCAGCGGCCAAGCGAAAGCAUUAAGCAUCCCACCUGGGGAGUACGCCGGCAACGGUGCAACUCAAAGGAA
rnacentral:rRNA from 1 species